GAUGAAGAACGUAGCUAAAUGCGAUAAGUAAUGUGAAUUGCAGAAUUCAGUGAAUCAUCGAAUCUUUGAACGCACAUUGCGCCCGCCAGUAUUCUGGCGGGCAUGCCUGUUCGAGCGUCAUUUCAACCAUCAAGCCCCCGGCUUGUGUUGGGGACCUGCGGCUGCCGCAGGCCCUGAAAACCAGUGGCGGGCUCGCUAGUCACUCCGAGCGUAGUAAUACAUCUCGCUCAGGGCGUGCUGCGGGUUCCGGCCGUUAAAAAGCCUUAUUUACCCAAGGUUGACCUCGGAUCAGGUAGGAAGACCCGCUGAACUUAAGCAUAUCAAUAAGCGGAGGA
rnacentral:misc_RNA from 1 species